AUGCAUAUAAUCAGCUGCGCUGUGUGUGUGUGUGUGUGUGUGUGUUUAUGUUAAGCACCCAUGAAUAAGCAUUACGAACCAUCACAAAAUACUUUAGGGCGUUCAAACCCGAAAUCCCUUCUCCUGUGCGACGGGAGACACUUUACGCAAGAGACAUAAAAUAUAAACAAUGCACAUGCACAAAUAACUUUACAUGUUCUACUACUGCUCGGAACGUUUACACCAUCAAUAUUACUGUGCAAGAGAGCUUGCUGUGUAGCGUUCAGUUUUUACUGCAGGGGUGUCAAACAUGCUGCCUGAUAAAUCGCAUAAAUUCAAAUGAAUUUAUCAUCUGUGCUGUUAGUUCAAAUCAUCUUGUGGACUGAAACUGAAAGAUAAAAAAGCUAGCCUCUGCUACACCACUAGGGAGCAAAAUUGAGUAAUAAAUUCAGAGGCAUAAACUCGGUUACUAACCAAGCGUGGUAAUGUAAUGAUAUGUAAUCCCUCAUUAGCAAGCUAAAACUUUUACUCUGUAACCAUAUGUCUUUUUCAGGGGUGGAAAAUACCAGAGUAAUUGGACUUCAUUAGUAUACUUAAGUAUUUUUUGGGGUAUUUAUACUUUACUUGAGUAUUACUGAAAUUGCAUACUUCUACUCAUAUUUAACUGACUCCUUCAAUUUUUAUUUAAACCUUCAACAAACUGGUCCUUCCUUAGUAAAAAUGUUUGAAUAUGCUGGUGUGGGAAAGACUCAUAAAAUGAGGAUUCAUCUUUGCCUCUCUAGAAAGCAUGAACUUUCUACAUCAUGCUUUAAAUUUCAUUUGAAAAAGCAUGAUGAGGUAACGUAGCCUACUUUUCUUUGCUUAUACCAAGUUAGAAAAUCAUUGAUUCCAGUGGAGAAAAAACUGGCUAGAAGGCAAGGCAAAUGGUAAACAUUGGUUGUACUAUACUGGUUAAUUACAUGAUAUUUUACUUCUGAUUAAUUCAUUAACAAACUACGUAGCAUUAGUCAUGCAUGACCAGUAAACCUACUGAAAGUGAAUUAAGGGUUUUUUUUUUGGCAAAAUGGUAUAUUUGCUUAUUACAGUUUUUUAUAAGUAAUACAAGUAACUUUUGACAUGAAAACAUUAACAGUUUCAUCAGUAAAAAACUAAACACGUUUACUUUUUAAUUAAUCAAGUACAAUGAAAAGUAGCACUUUUUUUUAACGUUCACUUGAGUACAUUUGUGUUGGAAUACUUCGACAUUAUCUGCACUUUCACUGAAGUAUAAUUUCUCAGUACUUUUUCCACCCCUGCCAUUUCCAAAAUUUCACAAAAAGAAUAAUAAAAGCAGUCACACAUUGUUGUUUUUUUGUUGUUGUUGGUAAAUACCACUUAAGUCCAUGUCAAGUCCAGGUUGUAACCCUACGAAAUGAGGAAGAAUUGAAGCUGGUGAAUAAUUAUGUAAGGCACUGUGUGUAUGUAUAUGUUCAUGUGUGUGUGUGUGUGUGUGUGUGUGUAUAUACAUACACACACACACACACACACACACACACACACACACACACACACACACACACACACACACACAAG
ensembl:lncRNA